rnacentral:rRNA from 1 species
AACGAACGCUGGCGGCAGGCCUAACACAUGCAAGUCGAACGCUCUAGCAAUAGGGAGUGGCGCACGGGUGAGUAACGCGUAGGAAUCUACCCAUUAGCCUGGGAUAACAGCGGGAAACUGCUGCUAAUACCGGAUACGCCCCUUCGGGGGGAAAGGUUUACUACUAAUGGAUGAGCCUGCGUUAGAUUAGCUAGUUGGUGAGGUAAUGGCUCACCAAGGCUCCGAUCUAUAGCCGGUCUGAGAGGACGAUCGGCCACACUAAGACUGAGACACGGCCCAGACUCCUACGGGAGGCAGCAGUGGGGAAUAUUGGGCAAUGGGCGCAAGCCUGACCCAGCCAUGCCGCGUGAGUGAUGAAGGCCUUAGGGUUGUAAAGCUCUUUUAGUAGUGAAGAUGAUGACAGUAGCUACAGAAAAAGCCCCGGCUAACUUCGUGCCAGCCGCCGCGGUAACAC